rnacentral:rRNA from 1 species
UGAGGAAUAUUGGUCAAUGGCCGCAGGGCUGAACCAGCCAAGUCGCGUGAGGGAUGACGGUCCUAUGGAUUGUAAACCUCUUUUGUCAGGGAGCAAAGGGCGCCACGUGUGGCGCUUUGCGAGUACCUGAAGAAAAAGCAUCGGCUAACUCCGUGCCAGCAGCCGCGGUAAUACGGAGGAUGCGAGCGUUAUCCGGAUUUAUUGGGUUUAAAGGGUGCGCAGGCGGAAUGUCAAGUCAGCGGUAAAAUUUCGGGGCUCAACCCCGUCGUGCCGUUGAAACUGGCGUUCUUGAGUGAGCGAGAAGUAUGCGGAAUGCGUGGUGUAGCGGUGAAAUGCAUAGAUAUCACGCAGAACUCCGAUUGCGAAGGCAGCAUACCGGCGCUCAACUGACGCUCAUGCACGAAAGCGUGGGUAUCGAACAGG